rnacentral:lncRNA from 1 species
UCCGCUAUAGGGAGAUGAACCGCCACAAAGUACAAUUACAAUUUACCGUUACUCAUCUGUUGGAUUCCUAGAAUAUCACAGAACAUUACUCCUCGUACAGCUUCUUCGCUCCACGUGGUGGACAGCGUGGUCUUUCAACAUUCGCCCUACUUCGGAGGUCGAGGUGCUCUUCGUGGGAUCGCUUUGCUCCUCUAUCCUCUGAUAACUCGCGUUGAAGAUGAGCCAAACGCAGCAGCUUCCAUUCAGGGAGUCCUGAGGGCCGUCCUGCCAUCGUCGAGCCCGAAGGCCCCUUCGUACUCUAAGGCCCUUCGUUUCCGUCCUCCUCGUCCCUGAGAGUUCGCCACAAAUCAAAGAAGUCUGUCAUGAUCAGAGACGAAAGGAUUUCUCCCUCCGAAGGUGGUUUCCCAAACAUUGCUGUCACCCGUUGGAGUCGAGGCCAUGGGAGGAUGACGAAGGGGUCGCUGGUGACCGCAUGGUUGCAGAAAGCAGCACCGUCGGCUGCAGCCAUGGAGCCGUCGCGUACUCCUCAACCACGGAUAAUGAUUCAACGCAUCGCAGUCGCUGGACUUCGGCGGCUCAUAGCGGCGGCCACCACUGCCGCCGGUAAGGUGGGCUCAGGAGGGCGUUGACUGACUCAUUUUUGCAGAAAGCUCCCUGCCCCUGCGGAAAGCCGGUGCAGUGCUUACAACAAGCCGCGACCGUCC